CCCCCUUUGGCUUUACAUUGCGCGAUCUUUCUUUCUGCGCCAUUCUCCAGCUCCGCUUGAAAUAGCCGGCUAAGGCAAAGCAGAAAUGGGGUUGACCUUCACCAAACUCUUCAGUAGGCUUUUCGCGAAGAAAGAGAUGCGCAUUUUGAUGGUUGGUCUAGAUGCUGCUGGAAAGACCACCAUCUUGUACAAGCUCAAGCUCGGAGAAAUAGUCACAACUAUUCCUACAAUUGGAUUUAAUGUGGAGACUGUGGAAUAUAAGAACAUCAGUUUCACUGUCUGGGAUGUCGGUGGUCAGGACAAGGUAUGUUAUAUUAUUGUGUAUAGCUGCGAGAGCUUUGAAUAUAUGAUCACAAUUAGGAAACGUGUUAUUAAGAAUUUCCUUUUGUCAGUGACCUUAACAUUGCAUAAUUAUUGACUAUAACUGUUGCAAUUGGCUUUUAUAAUGUAUUUACUUGACUAUUACAACCUUUAUGCCCUCAUCUGUGCUUAUGGACGGUCUUGUGCU
rnacentral:misc_RNA from 1 species